rnacentral:tRNA from 1 species
AGAGCUGUGCCCGAGAGCCCAGGGAUCACUUUGAUAGAGUGACAAACGAGGGUUAAAGUCCCCCCAGCUCUU